rfam:Xenopus tropicalis strain Nigerian Chr09_contig_99, whole genome shotgun sequence.
ACAAAGGCUCUUUUCAGAGCCCCCCACACCGGCUACAGAGGGCUG